GCCCGCCUAGCUCAAUCGGAUAGAGCGUCAGACUCUUAUAGCGGGUGAUCUGAAGGCUGCGAGUUCGACCCUCGCGGUGGGCU
rnacentral:tRNA from 1 species